AUUCUCAUUUGGAUCCGAAAUGUUCGUCUUUAUGGAGGUCGCUGACUGCGGUGGCACGCCGCUGGAGGAACAACCAGCCAAAAUGGCUGGAGCAUUCAGAUUGUUUCUGCAAGGUUUGGGAUACGUGCCAAGUUUAGUGCCAUUGAAACCGCAGAAGCCUUACGAUCCCAGAGAGAAUCACAGCCCAAUACGGACGUCUGACCAUACAUACGCCAACUUAUAUACAAUUGUAUAUAGAAUAGUAUAUGCUGAUACAAUGGUAUGCGGGUGGCGUGCAAUGAUUUUAGAAUUUGAUUCGUACAAUGAUGCUCAGCCGUAAGAUGUAACAUUUAUAAUAAUCUUUAUUGUAUCAUACGGUUAUUUAAAAUCUGUUCGUAGUUUUUAGUAAUUUUUACUUGGAAGAUUCCGUUGUUGUUUAAACCUUUUUAAACCGGUUCUAUGCAG